AUGGGGGUCUCUAAUCUGAACCUGAGCUUCUGCAAUGAUAGCAAUUAUGCAGUCUUUCCUGAUGAUUUGUUCAUUAUCAAUUUUGCUUUGUACUGGCUGCAUCAUGGAUGUGAGAGCAUCUGGGAGCUCUGCUUGCUGCUCAGGGACUACCUUUCCCCAGGUAGCUCUGCCUGUGCAGUACUUCAAGACAUUAAUGUACAUCUUGAGCUAUCCUGUCUCUCCAUAGACAGAGCAAUGGAGAGCUGCUAAAGACAGUAGUGUUCAGAAAAGACUGAGACCAAGAAAGAGCUGGAAGCCACAGAGUUUUGUGAUAAAGCCACCAUACCUGGCCCAAGCAGAUUCAGGCCUGUAGUUACUAUCAAUGCAAAUCAGGUUAGCACAAAAAUUGUCAGUGGCUUUUUGGAAGAGGGAUGGGUUUCCAUGACUUUUAAAAAAAUCUCAGAAACAGUCUCAGCACGUUGUUGCAGAUAUGUAAGGUUUUCAUGGUCUUGAGAGGAGAAUUUAGGAGUUACAUAAGAGGAAAUAUUUGGAAUUGGAAUAUUGUUGGCGAAACAACUCAGCCUCUGAUUUGGAAGAUUACGAGUCGAUUGCACAGAUGCUCUUCUCAGAGAUAAUCUUUUCACUGCCUCCUUUGGCUAAGGAUUGGGCCAUAAAUCAAUGCAAUGUUGAAACACAUGAGAGUAAGUGAUGUGGACACUAUUGAUAAACUGGUCAAUGGGGCUCUGAUGAAAACUUAUUAAAAAUCUUUAUAACCAUUCUUUACAUCUUCCCGUUUCAGCUGUAUUUUCAUGCACAAUAUACAUAUUCUUUAUAGACUACUGGAACGGCCAUAGUAAUUUAGAUGAAAGUAUGGUGUGAGGUCUGUAAGCAGUUGGUAGCGAGGGUGAGUCAUUUGCUACACAUUCCCCUCCCUACAAGGGUAUAAAAAUAAAU
rnacentral:lncRNA from 1 species